GACGAACCGUGCGAACGUUGUUCGGAAUCACUGGGCUUAAAGGGCGCGUAGGCGGCUUGCCAAGUCAGGGGUGAAAUCCUGCAGCUUAACUGUAGAAGGGCCUUUGAUACUGGCGAGCUCGAGGGAGGUAGGGGUAUGUGGAACUUCCGGUGGAGCGGUGAAAUGCGUUGAUAUCGGAAGGAACGCCGGUGGCGAAGGCGGCUCACUGGCCCGGUACUGACGCUGAGGUGCGAAAGCGUGGGGAGCAAACAGG
rnacentral:rRNA from 1 species